UAAGACAGAGGAGCCAAGCGUUGUCCGGACUGACUGGGCGUAAAGCGCACGCAGGCGGCGCUGCGCGUGGGGUGUGAAAGCUCUUGGCUUAACUGAGAGAGGCCAUCCCAUACGGCAGUGCUCGAGCCAUGCAGAGGUCCGCGGAAUUGCCGGUGUAGUGGUGAAAUGCGUAGAGAUCGGCAGGAACACCCAGGGGGAAACCAGCGGACUGGGCAUGCGCUGACGCUCAGGUGCGACAGCGUGGGGAGCGAACCGGAUUAGAUACCCGGGUAGUCCACGCUUUAAACGAUGGACACUCGGCAUCUGGCGCCGAGAUUUCGGCGCUGGGUGCCCAAGCUAACGCGGAAGUGUCCCGCCUGGGAACUACGAGCGCAAGCUUA
rnacentral:rRNA from 1 species